GUGAAGUCCACCCAGGGGGGGUUCCCAGGAAGGCAUUGCUGAGGAGGCUAAAGGUCAAGAAUAGCAGUGCCAACCCCAGCGGGUGACCAGGGAGAGGGAUCAUUUGCAUUAAGGCACAAAGUCAACAGGAGUGGCUGCCGAGCUCACAGAGCAGGACAAGGGGGCCACAGGGGCCGCCGCUCCAUGGUAAGAAGAGGCCUGCUCAGAUGGGCAUCUGGAGAAGACCUGUCCAGCUCCAGGGUAGAAAAGGAACAGAUGGGCUCAGGCCUGGGUGCUGCCCAAGGCCAGCCCCAUCGCCAAGGCACCCUCUGAGGCUUGCAGUCUCCAUGGGCACAGCCAGGCUGGAGUACAACGGCGUGAUCUCGGCUUUCCACAACCUCCACCUCCCGGGAUCAAGUGAUUCCCCUGCCUCAGCCUCCUAAGUAGUAGGAAUUACAGGUGUGCACCACCACACCCGGCUAACUUUUGUAUUUUUAGUAGAGACACGGUUUUGUCAUGUUGGCCAGGCUGGUCUCAAUCUCCUGACCUCAAGUGAUCCACCCGCCUGGGUCUCCCCAAAAUGCUAGAAAUACAGGUAUGAGCCACUGUGCCUGGCCCAAGAUCUUUGUGUUAGACUCAUGCUGAGUGUCCCACAUUGUAGGAAGCUCCUAAAAUGACCCCCAGUGAAAGCCCCUCUCCUGGCUUUCACCCUCUUGAUAUCUCUCCCUUGAGUGUGGGCUGGACUUAACAGCUCACUUCUAAUGAAUAGGAUAUGAUGGGGGUGAUGAAUGUCACUUCUGAGAUGAAGUUCUAAAAAGACUAUGGAGUCUGUCUUGGGCUCUCUCCCUCCGCUCACUCUAGGGGAAGCCAGCUGUCAUGUCAGGAGGUACCCGGAGCCUCUGUAUGGCUGGGAGCUAGAAGCAGCCUCAACCCAGAGUCAGUAGGAGUCGGAGGGCCUCAUUCCACCAGCUCACAGGGAACUGAAGCCCACCCACAAUUACGUAAGUGAGCUUGCACCGCAGUCAGGCUGGGGAUUCCCUCUCGGCCAAGUGUUCAGAUGAAACUGCAGCCCCAGCCACAGCUUGACUGCGUGUUGUUGGCGACCUGGGGGCAGAGGCACCAGCUCAGCUAUACCUGGAUUCCUGACUCAGAGACCAUCUGAUAAUAAAUGUUUACUAGUUUUCA
rnacentral:lncRNA from 13 species